ACAGCGAAGGAGGGGCCUUUCUGAAGGGGAGGUAGCUGGCGCCCGGGCUGACAAGGUUAAGAAAAUAAGCAACAAAACACCUGGGAGGAGAUAUGUAGAGUGCUUAAAGGGGCUGAGGGGCAUCAGGAUAGCCUUGUGCAGCUUCUCAGCCCAUGGAAACUAGUGGGAAUACACCUAAGAAACCUACAGAAAAAAAGAUUAAAAGACUACAAAACCAGGAAACCUUGCAGAUGAACAGCCAAGCUUUGGCAUCAAUGUUCAAAAUUCAGGAAAUGAAGAUUGAGAAAGCAAAUGAAAAGGAGAAUAAAGCUAGUAAAGUGAUUAAAAUGAAGAUUUGUAUACACUAAUGACUACUUUCAUGUGGACAACAGGAGGAGAGUUAGGCAAAUGCUGACCACAGCAGGAUACCACAGAUGGCAACCAACAUACUGCAGAUAAAAUCUAACACCAGCCUAGUAUAUUUGAAUGGAUCACGUAGAGAGUCUCCACACAGUAAGUUUAACUCCCAAAGAAAAUUUGGGUUGGAUAUGGUUUUUGCAAAGGCAACUGCAGAAUAAAUAGGAAGCAGACAAGAUGUAAUGUAAGUUUCUGUACGUGAUUUAAAACUUGUUAAUGUUCAGUGAGAGCCCUGUCCUCAUCCAAGCUGCUGCUGCUCUCUGCUCAGUUUUCCAUCUGGGGAUACCAUUUAGCAUUUGUACACCAAACUACUUUACAGAUAAGGCUAGACUGUAUUUCACCUAAAAGUAAUCUCACUGUCUAAUAGUUUGUUUUCAACAGCCUGAGCUGGUCAUUGUAAGCUGUAUGCCUUUGGUUGCAGUUUCUUUGCCAAGCUGUGAGUGAGGCAGUUUAUUAUUUGUUUUUAGAAAUUCUGAGCUGCUGACUGCUAGAUCCACAUAGGAACGUCAAUAAGAAUAUUUUUCUCAUAUAUAGCUUCAUUAGUCUCACAGCUGAGACAGUGUUAUACAGGUACCAAGCAAUUCUAGCACAACCAUUUUCAUGCAGCAUUGUCUUUGUUCAAAUCUAUGUUGUUCUGGUUCAACCAGGCAGACAGCUAAACAGCGCAGAUAUUUGUUCACAUCCCCUCCACAUGUGUUUUGCAGUGGGCUGGGGAAGAAAAACGGAAAGUGCAGGAGCUCACGGGUUGAGAUAAGGACAGUUUAAUAAAAAAGAGAAAAGGAAAGAAAAAGUAACAACUAUCCCAUUGCUAGUGUGAAUCAGUUGUCCUGGUUCUGUCCCUUCCUAGCUCCUUGUGGGCACAGUGGUAUGAGAAGCUGAAAAGUCCUUGACUAACUUAGUGCAAGCACAGCUCAGCAACCAAAAUGUGUGUGUUAUCAACAUUGUUCUCAUCCUAAAUCCAAAACACAGCACCAUACAAGCUAAUAGGAAGAAAGUUAUCCUAGCCAUAACCAAGACACAAUUUCAGAUUUGAAUGAAUAGAUUGUUCAGCAAUGAGGAAUUGCCUCUCUGAGAAGUUAAUAAUCAACUGCAGUGUUCAACAAUGCAAAUAUCCAUUUUUCCUUUUUUCCACUGUACAAAUGGCAUUUCACUUAUGUAGUAUAUGCCCUUCAGGGCAAGCAGUGGUGUGAACAGGAUCAAAAUUUAGAUUUUACAGUAAAAACACAUGCAGGUCCCUGUAGAACCCAGUUUGAUCAUUGAGCAAGAUGAUGAAACCAUGAGGACUGCACAUGCAGGCUGUUGGAUCAAAGUGCAUGGUGUUUAACCAAAAUAUUGUCCUCCAUUUGAGAGACUUCUCAGGGUUAGCCUGUUUGAAAUAUGUUCAUUAUUGCAUUAAGGAAUCUAUUCUAGUGUAGGUUAAGUGGCUUUCUGGUGAAUACCUUAAUCUAACACCACUAUUAAUCUUCUCAGAUAAGCCUGCAACAUAUAUAUAUAUAAAUACACUCAAAUGGCAACAGCUAUUCGACCAGUGCUUAAACCUAAAGUUGACAGUAUCUCACUGUUUGAAGAGAUGGCAGAAGUAAGAAAAUUUUUAGAUCUCUUGGACUAAAAUGUCCUGUGAUUCCUGACGGUUAGCUUCUGUUUCAACUAUGUAUGUGUAUAUAUUGGGUAUGUUAUUCUCUUUAUUAGGUAAGAGCAAAAAAUGCAGGUAAGGUUCAAGUCAAUUAGUUUCUGCAUAGUUCUUAUUCAGUUGAAGCCAUACGUAAGUGACUGAAACCCACACAAACGUUUUGUCUAUUCACUGGCAGUGCAUGUGGACGGAACUUAGCUUUCUGCUAACACAGGGUAAGCACAGUCAUAAUUAAACAGGAGAAAUGGUUGUUACAAUGAAGCAGUAGCCCCUUUGCUGAAAUGAGUCUCAUGCUAAUAAUUUUUCAACCUAAGGUAUGCUAAAUAGGUCCUAAACCUUUUAAAUUCAUGUAGUAAAUAAGUAAGUCCCAUUUUAGUUGUCUGUUGAGAGUUCAGGAGCAGUGUGUACACUUUUACCCAUUUAAGAUCACUAAAGUAGCAGCAAUCAGCUCCUGAAUUGUCAACUCAUUCCUCCCCCUUUAGUGCCCAGUCACUAGUGACCCCACACACCUUCCAGACCCUACAACACUUCUCACACAGAAGCAGAUGCUUUUCAUCCUAGGCAAGCAGUAAACAAACAAACAAAAAAAUAAUGCAGUGAGUCUUGAAUUCAACUUUCACCCCCGUUUCCUACCUGAUUCUCAAGGUAGGAAAGGUCUCUUGAGGAAGGAAAGCAAAACUUCCUCACCUAAUUCUUUAGGUUGUUCAAGACAACCAGUAAGCAAAGAUAUUGUUGUUAUCUGAAGUAACAAACUCACAGAACAAGUUGCUGUCACAUAUAUGAUCACUGGGAGGGGCUUGGUUUACCUGAGAACACAAACUUGCACUCAAAAACAGUCUGAGUAGGUGAACCAGACUGCUCCACCAUGUAAAACAGGAAAACAUAAGCAGAGACAAUGAGCUUUGCAAUGGGUUUUUGAAGUGUAUGUUCCAAACCUCCAAAGAAACUACGCUCUCCAGGGCAGGUUUGUUGUAGUGAAGGGAUAUUUGCAAACUAUGUUCCUCAUUUUUGGAAAGAGCUUGCUACAAGCCUGCACAUAGCAGGGUGGUUGAAACUAGAUGAUCAUUGCGGUUCUUUUCAACCCAGGCCAUUCUAUCAAGCAGCAUCAUCUUUGGAAAUAACAAUAUGAAAAGCAGCCAGUGGAGCAGGUCUCUUAUUUUUACAAAACAGAAGCAACCAGUUGAUGCUGGAAGUGUUCUGUAUGCUCUGGCUUACUUAGAAGGCUACAUAAGUUUUCACACCGUAAGGAUUGGUCUUGAAACAAACAUUUCAAGUAUUUUUUUAACUAUAGUUUAAUGUUUUCACAGCAGUAUAUGCCACGUAACUAUUUCAGGAAGAAUCCUAUCCCCUGAUUACUACAGCAGCUUUAGUUCUGUUUGUUUGUUUUUUCUAAAGCCUGCUCCCACUCUGACAAAGUAAUUUAUUAAGCCCAGACAAUCGUUUCUGACCUUUGCUCUGUAUCUCACUGUGAUGAUACAACUGGAAAAAAAAAAUAAACAUAUCUGCCAAGCCUUCCUUUGAGCUGGGGUGCUUCCUAGAGGCAGGGAGUAAGAAACAAAGUACUUAAACCAUUGUCACUCUAAAGAGUGCCUAUUACUUUUCAGGAGUCGUUUAGCACUAAAAUUUCCAGUCAAGGAACCCAAAUCUAUUCUAUGCAAUUUAUAGAGAGUCAGUUCACAGGUCGUGUUAUAAAGGACCGUCGGUCUGUAAGUGUUUAUUGCUUACUUGAUACAUUACAUAAGUUAAAACAUUUAAGUUCAUCUUACAGUGUAGGUAACCAUGCUUCCUAGUAUGCUUUUAAAGCCCCAAGCCAUCAGCACAAAGAUGCAUCCCAUAGCCCCACUCAAAGCAGCAUAAACUCAAGUCCAGGGUCCAGAGUUAUCCAGACAAGCAGCAGCUCAGAAUGCUGCUCAUGCCU